rnacentral:rRNA from 1 species
GUGAGGAAUAUUGGUCAAUGGGCGAGAGCCUGAACCAGCCAAGUCGCGUGAAGGAUGAAGGUUUUAUGAAUUGUAAACUUCUUUUGCAGGGGAAUAAAGUACGGUACGUGUACCGUUUUGUAUGUACUCUGCGAAUAAGGGUCGGCUAACUACGUGCCAGCAGCCGCGGUCAUACGUAGGACCCAAGCGUUAUCCGGAGUGACUGGGCGUAAAGAGUUGCGUAGGCGGUUUGAUAAGUCAGCGGUGAAAGUUUGCAGCUUAACUGUAAAAAUGCCGUUGAAACUGUCGGACUUGAGUGUAAAUGAGGUAGGCGGAAUGCGUGGUGUAGCGGUGAAAUGCAUAGAUAUCACGCAGAACUCCGAUUGCGAAGGCAGCUUACUAAGCUACAACUGACACUGAAGCACGAAAGCGUGGGGAUCAAACAGGAUUAGAUACCCGAGUAGUCC